GCAUCAGUGGUGUAGCGUUCGUCUCUUUUCGAGUCCUAGUCGAAUCCAUUUACUAAUGUCUUUCCAGGGUAACAUUGUUGCCUUCCAAGCAAUAGCUCUGGGUUCGACUCCCGGCUGAUGCA
rnacentral:tRNA from 1 species